CGGUGGAGGUCCAGGCGGUCGGCCCGGUGGAGGUCCUGGAGGAGACGGUCCCGGCGGUGGAGGUCCAGGCGGUUGGCCCGGUGGAGGUCCUGGAGGAGACGGUCCCGGCGGUGGAGGACGGCUGGGGGAUCCGGCGGUGGAGGUCCGAAGGCGGCUCGUGAUUAGACCAACCAGCUCCUCAUCCAUGGAAGGAUUGAAGGAGUCACUGGGGAUGAAGAUCACUGCUCAGGGGCUGACGACCUACCCCCCCCCCCCCCCCCCCCC